rnacentral:lncRNA from 1 species
UUUGCUCCAUUCUUGUUAGACGACAACGAGCAAAGAGGGGCAGCUUUAAGGCGCAAUUUUUGCCCGGGCCCGUGUAUAAAUAAAUAGAGCCAAUAAACAAUAAAAAUAUCCAAUUAAACAGUCCAUAUUACAAAACCAAAAAAUAAAAUCUAAAGGCCUAUUCCAAAAUACUAAACCCAACCCCUAAAUUAGCCCAAAAUAUUUCUCAAUUAAUCGAAACCCUAAAAUCUAAUAGCUUCCAGCACCGCUCCUCUGUCCGCCCUCCACGCGCGCUGCAUGUAAACUAGAC